rnacentral:rRNA from 1 species
GUUUGGUUAAGUUAGAAAGGGCGCACGGUGGAUGCCUUGACACUAGGAGUCGAUGAAGGACGGGACUAACGCCGAUAUGCUUCGGGGAGCUGUAAGUAAGCUUUGAUCCGAAGAUUUCCGAAUGGGGAAACCCACCAUACGUAAUGGUAUGGUAUCCUUAUCUGAAUACAUAGGGUAAGGAAGACAGACCCAGGGAACUGAAACAUCUAAGUACCUGGAGGAAGAGAAAGCAAAUGCGAUUUCCUGAGUAGCGGCGAGCGAAACGGAACAUAGCCCAAACCAAGAGGCUUGCCUCUUGGGGUUGUAGGACAUUCUAUACGGAGUUACAAAGGAACGAGGUAGACGAAGCGACCUGGAAAGGUCCGUCGUAGAGGGUAACAACCCCGUAGUCGAAACUUCGUUCUCUCUUGAAUGUAUCCUGAGUACGGCGGAACACGUGAAAUUCCGUCGGAAUCUGGGAGGACCAUCUCCCAAGGCUAAAUACUCCCUAGUGAUCGAUAGUGAACCAGUACCGGGAGGGAAAGGUGAAAAGCACCCCGGAAGGGGAGUGAAAGAGAUCCUGAAACCGUGUGCCUACAAAUAGUCAGAGCCCGUUAA